GGUUUUUUGAUUUAUUAAUAUAAGAUCUAAUCUGCCCAAUGAUUAAUAAUUAAAUGGCUGCAGUAUUUUGACUGUACAAAGGUAGCAUAAUCAUUUGUCUUUUAAUUGAGGACUGGAAUGAAUGAUUGAAUGAGAAUUAUACUUUCUUUAUUUUUUUAAUAAAAAUUUAAUUUUUAAGUUAAAAAGCUUAAAUGGAUUUAGGGGACGAGAAGACCCUAUAGAAUUUUACWCAUUAUUUUAUAAUUAUAGAUUAGUUUAUAUAUUAAUCAUAAAUAAAUGAGUUUGGUUGGGGUGAUUAAAAAAAUAUUUUAACUUUUUUUAUUUUUAACAUUUAUAUAUGUAAUUUUGAUUUAUUGUUUAUAAUUAUAAGAUUAAAUUACCUUAGGGAUAACAGCGUUAUUACUUUAGAGAGAUCUUAUUGAUAAAGUAGUUUGCGACCUCGAUGUUGGAUUAAAAUUAGUUAUAGGUGCAGAAUUUUAUUAACUGARUCUGUUCGACUUUUAAAAUUUU
rnacentral:rRNA from 1 species